AUGUUGCUAUCCAGCGUUUUGAAGGUAGUCAUGGCUUCAAUGUGGCUAGGAUCUAGCAUUGCACAGAAGGUAACUCAAGGCCAAUCGGCAAUGCUAGUGCAGGAGAAGGAGGCUGUGACCCUGGACUGCACAUAUGACACGAAUUAUGGAAGUUACAGUCUAUUCUGGUACAAGCAGCCCAGCAGUGGGGCGAUGAUUGUUGUUAUUCGUCAGGAUUCCUACAACCAGCAAAAUGCCAGAGAAGGUCGCUACUCAUUGAAUUUUCAGAAAGCAAAGAAUUCUGUCACCCUUGUCAUCUCAGCCUCACAGCUGGAGGACUCUGCAGUGUAUUUCUGUGCCCUGAGUGAACCCACAGUGAGAGGCGUGUUGGGAGGAGGUGUACCAAAACCCCAGAGCUCUGCUUUAUGCAUCCACCUGCUGUAG